ACGAGUGCCCCAAGCGUUAUCCGGAAUCAUUGGGCGUAAAGGGUGCGUAGGCGGUCGGGUAAGUCUGAUGUGAAAUCUCUGGGCUCAACCCAGAAAUGGCAUUGGAUACUAUCUGGCUAGAGGAGUGGAGGGGGGACUGGAAUACUUGGUGUAGCAGUGAAAUGCGUAGAUAUCAAGUGGAACACCAGUGGCGAAGGCGAGUCCCUGGACACCUCCUGACGCUGAGGCACGAAAGCUAGGGGAGCAAACAGGA
rnacentral:rRNA from 1 species